rnacentral:rRNA from 1 species
ACGCUGUCGGAUUAUUGGGCGUAAGGGCUCGCAGGCGGUUUCUUAAGUCUGAUGUGAAAGCCCCCGGCUCAACCGGGGAGGGUCAUUGGAAACUGGGGAACUUGAGUGCAGAAGAGGAGAGUGGAAUUCCACGUGUAGCGGUGAAAUGCGUAGAGAUGUGGAGGAACACCAGUGGCGAAGGCGACUCUCUGGUCUGUAACUGACGCUGAGGAGCGAAAGCGUGGGGAGCGAACAGGAUUAGAUACCCUGGUAGUCCACGCCGUAAACGAUGAGUGCUAAGUGUUAGGGGGUUUCCGCCCCUUAGUGCUGCAGCUAACGCAUUAAGCACUCCGCCUGGGGAGUACGGUCGCAAGACUGAAACUCAAAGGAAAUUGACGGA